UACAGAGGGGGCAAGCGUUGUUCGGAAUUACUGGGCGUAAAGGGCGCGUAGGCGGCCCGCUAAGUCGAACGUGAAAUCCCCGGGCUCAACCCGGGAACUGCGUCCGAUACUGGAUGGCUUGAGAUUGGGAGAGGGAUGCGGAAUUCCAGGUGUAGCGGUGAAAUGCGUAGAUAUCUGGAGGAACACCGGUGGCGAAGGCGGCAUCCUGGACCAACACUGACGCUGAGGAGCGAAAGCCAGGGGAGCAAACGGG
rnacentral:rRNA from 1 species